rnacentral:lncRNA from 1 species
GACCAUUGUCCUCAGCAACACCAGCAUCAUGGGCACCGUGCCAAACGAGCUUGGCAGUCUGCCCUGGCUUCAAACUCUUAAUCUUUCAUACAAUAGUUUGUCAGGUACCAUCCCACACAUCCUUGGAAACCUUACUAGGCUUGACACGCUUGAUCUUGCUCGAAAUAACUUCUUUGGGGGAAUUCCACAUGAGUUGCAAAAAUUGCACAGCCUUAUUUCUUUAAUAUUGCAAUUCAAUGAACUGAGUGGACCAAUACCACAGGGCCUAUUCAACAACUCAACCAAUUUGAGUAUAAUAAAUCUUGGGUCGAAUUGGCUGACAGGAGCAAUUCCUGAUAGUUUCAGCUCACUGCUAAAGUUGGAGAUGCUAGUCCUAGACGAAAAUCAUCUCUCAGGCCCCAUGCCACCUUCUCUCUUCAAUAUGUCCCAGCUGCAAGCACUGGCUGUCAGACGGAACAAUCUCUCAGGUCCAAUUCCUGGAAAUGAGAGCUUUCACCUCCCUAUGCUGCAAGUGUUAUCUCUGUCAGAAAACCAGUUCAAUGGACCUAUCCCUUUGGGUCUCUCCGCCUGUCAGAACCUUGAAGCGCUCAGUCUUGCAGUGAAUAAUUUCACUGGUACUGUGCCUUCAUGGCUGGCGACGCUGCCAAACCUCACCAAAAUAUACCUGUCAACAAAUGAUCUCACUGGGAAGAUCCCGACUGAGCUGAGCAACCAAACAACGCUUCUUGGUUUGGAUGUCAGUGAGAACAAUCUUGAGGGGGAAAUUCCACCAGAACUGGGAAAUUUAAGAAAUCUUAGUUUUCUAGGCCUUGCAAACAACCAAAUAGCAGGUGUCAUCCCAGAAUCCAUAGGCAAUCUAUCUAACCUUAUGGUAAUAGACUUGUUUGGAAACAGAUUAACUGGACCAGUGCCAGUGUCAUUUCAAAACUUGCUAAAUCUCCGUGGCAUCUGGUUCAAUGGGAACCAGCUCAGUGGGAAUCUCAAUUUCCUGGCAGCAUUAUCCAAAUGCAGGAGCCUGGAUACCAUUAACAUAGCAAACAAUACAUUCACAGGGAUGCUACCACCCUACAUUGGAAACCUCAGCACGGUAUUGCAGUACUUCAUAGCGGAUUACAACAUGAUCACUGGAAGCAUCCCUAGUACACUGGCCAAUCUGAGCAACCUGUUAGUAAUUUCUCUCGGUAAUAACCACCUGAGUGGGAAGAUCCCCACAACAAUCUCUGCGAUGAAGAAUCUCCAAGAACUCAACCUCUCCAGCAACAGCUUGUCUGGCACCAUCCCAGCAGAAAUAAGUAGAUUAACAAGCCUAGUUUAUUUGAAUCUUGGUGGCAAUAAACUAAGAGGUUCUAUUCCAAGCAGUGUCAGUAGUCUAAGCCAACUGCAAGUUAUGACGUUGUCACAAAAUUCACUGUCUUCAACCAUACCGACAACUCUAUGGCACCUUCAGAAACUUGUUGAGCUUGAUCUGUCAUUGAACUCUUUGAGUGGUUCCCUACCAGCUGAUGUUGGAAAACUGACAGCUGUUGCCAUUAUGAAUUUAUCAAGCAACCAGUUAUCAGGUGAAAUUCCAACUUCCAUUGGUAAUCUUCAGAUGAUGAUCAAUCUGAAUCUAUCCAGCAAUUUAUUCCAAGGAUCACUACCAGAUUCAAUUGGAAAGUUACUCAGUAUUGAAGAGUUGGAUCUCUCCUCCAACAUGCUUUCCGGUUCCAUUCCAAGCAGUGUCAGUAAUCUUAGGAACCUGGUAGUACUGUCUCUCAGUGAAAACCACCUGACUGGAACAAUCCCUACAACAAUCACUGCAAUGAAAAAUCUCCAAAAACUCGACCUUUCCGGCAACAGCUUAUCUGGCACCAUCCCCUGACAAGCCUUGUUAGGUUGCAUCUUGAUAGUCUACAGCAGCAAUGAACUACUAGGUUCUAUUCCAUUUUCCAUAUCUCUAAGCCAGCUAUACGACGUGAUCCAAAAUUUAUUGUGUCUUCAACCAUAUACCAAGUUCAUGGCACCUCCAAAUACUUAUGGCUCAAUCAGUCACAUAAAUCUUUCUCAACAGUUUUCCUUCCAGCUGAUGUGUAAGAGUAACAUGAACUAAAAGGAUAGUCUAUAUAUCAGGUGGCGUCCCAAUUUAAUUUUUUGCUCAUACCGUCAUACGAAUCUGUCCAGAAAAAUUAUUCCAACGAACAGUACAGAAGUUUGGCAAGUUACUUCGAACUUAGCGCUUGUCUGUGUUAGAAGUAUCUGGAAGUCUCUAGUCUUUUGUGUAACGAGUUCAUAUCUGUAACAGGAUUGCUAAUCCUUGGACGUGUAGAAGUAGGAUAUGUUCCUUCAGUUUCUUGUAAUUGUAAUAUUGGCGUCCAAGGAUGGUCAUCAGAGCCUAGCUUAGCAAAAUCCUAUACGCCUCACGCAAUGGCCAGCUCGUCUUCGAUUCCAACCAACCAUUGGAACCUCGUACUGGGUUCCCCAUCUCUCGGAAACUGGAUGAAUCUCCUCCAUGAGGGAGGUCAGUCUGGGUCGUCAGCCAAUUACUCCAGGCCGUGGCUCUAGUGGAGCCACAAACUAGCGCAUGCGUGGAGGAGGCCGUGGCAACAACAGCAACAACAAGCCGUCUCGUCAAGAAGUGGGGAAAAUUCUCCAACAACCGUGUCAGUCACUCCAACAACAAUGAGGAUCGCCCACUCUGCCAUGUCUGCUUCAAGAAAGGGCACACUGCAGACGGUGUUGGCACAUGUAUGUGGAGAAUUAUGUUCUAGAUCGGAAACUUGUAGCUGCUGCAACAUCACCAUGAUAUGUUGUGGACAUGAACUGACAUUAGUUACAUCGGUGUACAUUGAUGACCUCAUCUUGAAGACUGAGCCCGGUGACUCUGCUUGAGGACUUGUUGGAAACCUUUAACAGUCUACAUUUUUUUUCUAGAAUACGUAGGAGAACUGCGUAUCAUUCAAUUAAGAGGAAGGUAAAUUAAUGUUUGUACAACGCGGGCCAUUAACCGGGUACUCGCACACAGUAGGAGAAUUAGAUAGUGAGAUUACAUUUGUUAAAAGGGAACGCCUACUUCCAGAAGUUAAGACCUAGAAUUUGCAACGCUAGCUAACGAUCAGGAGGCUUCCAACCAAAAGCUUUCAUGUUUCGGGCACCAUUUUGAACCCAGAGUGACGCUUCUUCGACGAUGAUCGGCAGGAGCUGUUGCGGUGUCCUAGCAACGUCAGUUGCAAAGGCUCGGCCGUUCCUGUCUUUCCAUAGCCUCCAGCAUACCAGCAUGACUGUAGAAUCCAGGCCUCUAGCCUUGACGUUGAUCAUAGUAGCACGGAUAGACAGCCACCAAUCAAUCAAGUUGGAAUUUGGAGCAAGGUUCGGUAACUGAUUGUUAGUCGUUUGCCCGACCUAAAGCCACACCUGACGGGAGUAAUCGCAAUGGCUAAAUAGGUGAUCCACCGUUUCAGCUUCUUGUCCACAGAGGUUGCACUCAUCAGUAUUCUGCAAGCCAUGCCGUUUGCGCCUUGUGGCGGUCCAGAUCACCGCGAGACAAAUGAAGAACUUAACUUUCAAAGGCGCCCAUGCGCGCCACACGGUCAUGAAGAUCGGCAAGACAGUGGAGCCACGGAAGAACAUAUGGUAUGCCGAUCGGGCAGAGUAUGUCCCGCGGGCUUCCCAACGCCAGGAGACGACAUCCUCGACGCCGGCCUGCAAAUGGACAGUGGCAACCGUAUGCCAAAGCUGGACAUACUGCCUAAUGCCGCUGACUGUAGCUCGUCCGACAAUCUCGCGAAUCCACACCUUGUCUGUCAGGGCUGCCGCUACGGUUCUGGUUCUUCUUGUUUUGGGUUUAACCAUAGCACAAAGGUCUGGUGCCAGGAAGCAUGGUGAGGAGUCCCCCAGCCAGUUGUCCUCCUAGAAGAGAGUCGCAUUACCAUCACCUAGCUGAACUAGGAUCGAUGCUUGGAAGAUACUUCGCAGGUUCUUGUCACUGUCAUAAUCAGUGCUUAAUUGGAUCCAUGGGCGCUGCACAUCUGUUCUUUUUAGCCACAUCUUUUUAGCCACAUCCAGCGAAGCCGAAGGGCUUGAGAAGAGAUUUUGAGGUCAGGAAUCCCCAAGCCACCAAACCUGCAUGGCCUGCACGCAGUUGGCCAGGAGAUGGCACAGUGCCCCCCUGUGCUUUGUUCUUCCCUACCCAAAGGAAUCCUUUUCUGCUCUUAUCAAUCUCUCGCAGCACCCAGUCUAGGACGUCAAGCGCAAGGAGUGUAUGUGUGCAAACCAAGGACAUCACCGAUUUGACGACCGUUAGCCUCCCGGCUUUGUUCAUGAGCUGUGCCUUCCAACUCGGGAUCUUACUAGCAACUUUAUCUAUAAAGGGUUGGAAGUGGGACUUCUUCAAGCGCCCAACCAUCAAAGGCAAUCCAAGAUACUGGAUGGGGAAAGUCGCGAUCUGUGCAGGAAGAAUGUCCCGGAUUCUGGAGAUCUGCUCGUCGGUGCAGCAGAUUGGCGCCAACUGGCUUUUAUGGAUGUUUGUCCGGAGACCAGAGACUUGGCCAAAGAAGUCAAGCACAGUUCUGAUCGUGAUGACGUCUUGGACGCGCGGUGCUGCGAAGAUGAUAACAUCAUCGGCAUAGAGAGAACAUUGGUGGUGUAUGCCACUGUUAGCCGGAGGGGAGAGCACCCCCUGUUGGGCAGCCGUGGCAAGUAGCCGGUGAAGCACCUCCAUAACAAGAAUGAACAACAUAGGAGAAAGGGGGUCUUCUUGCCGUAAUCCUCUAGCAUUGCGUAUAAUUCUUCCAGGGGUUCCAUUGAGGAGGACCCGUGUUGAAGCCGUGGACACGAGGAUCGCUAUCCAAUCCCGCCAUUUGUCCCCAAAGCCGCUCGCUUGAAGCAUGUGUAUAAGAAAUUGCCAGGAGACGGUAUCAAAGGCUUUCGAUAUGUCCAAUUUGAUGAGCAGGCUGGGCUUCCAUUUCCUAUGUAGCGUCUUCGCUACGAGUUCAACAAACUUGAAGUUGUCGUGGAUGGAACAUUUCUUGAUGAACGCGCUUUGGUUAACGUCCACCAACCUGUGCAUUUCGAGCGCAAGUCGAUUGGAGAGCAACUUGGCGACCAACUUUGCGAAGCUGUGAACUAGACUGAUUGGGUGGUAGUCAGCCGGCGACACCGCAUCCUGUCUUUUGGGCACGAGCGUGAUGAGAGCAGUGUUUAGACGACCAAAUAGGUCACAAGCGCAUCUGAAGAACGCAUUGAAGCAGGCAAUGAUGUCGCACUUGAUGACCGUCCAUGUCUCCCGGUAGAAUUCAGCCGUGAACCCGUCCAGGCUUGGGGCGCGCUCAGUAGGAAGAUCUUUAAUAGUACUCCAAAUCUCGUGUUCGGAGAAGGGAGCAUUGAGGUGAUUAAGGUCUGCCACCUGGAUGCCCAAGGCAGCGAGAUCAACCAUCUCGAGUCCCUUCUGGCGAGGUGCCUAGGAUGGAGUGGAAGUAUCUGUACAGGAGCUCUUCCUUGUCAGAGUGAGUGACCGCGACCACCCCGUCGUACUGAAGUUUGGGGAUGAAUUUCUUCCUAGUUCGAUAGCAUGCGGUCAUAUGGAAAAGCUUGGUGUUGGCGUCCCCGUCCCGUAAGAACAGUAGCCGUGACCGCUGCCUUGCCAUUGUGCGCUCGAGGGAUGACAGCCCGAGAGUUUUAUACUUGAGCCGCGUCCUAAGGCUCCGCUCCUCAGCAGUCAAUGUGCGUAGCUCCUGGGCUCUAUCAUGCCAAAGGACUACAGCCUUAGCCACCAGCAGCUGGGUGCGGAUCUGUCCCACCUUCUUGGAGCUCCAGCUUUGCAAGGAUCUAGCUGUGCAUUUGAGUUUGUGAUCUAGUCGAACAAAAGGAUCAGUGGAGGGAUAGGUCGAUGACCAGGCUUCCGCAACAACUUCAAUGAAGCCCGGCAGAUCAAUCCACCGGGGUUCGAAGUGGAACCGGCGUUUAGAAGUGAAGUAGGCAUUAGUCGCCAGGUGGAGCGGGCAGUGGUCGGAGGCACCGGAGGAGAGAGCUUGUAGGAACGCGAAGCCAUAAUGUGCAUCCCAGUCAAUGGAGACCAGGACACGAUCAAGCUGCGCCAGAGUCAGUGCUUCUCUCUCAUUGCUCCAUGUAUAGCGCCGUCCGUGCAGAUAAACGUCCUUGAGCUGCAUAUCAUUUACAAACCACUUGAACCUUCCGAUGUUCCUCCGAUUGAUGUUGCUCGAGUUCUUGUCCAACGCAUUGAGGGUGAGGUUGAAGUCACCCGCGAUUACCCACAUGGCCGCGGCGUAGGGCUUAACAGCACGGAGUUCAUCCAAGAACUCGAUCUUAUCAGCCUCGGCUUGUGGCCCGUAUACGGUGGUGAGGCACCAAGGCGUGUCCUGUGACACGAAGCUCACCGAUACAGUAAGAGAGAAACGACCAACAUCCAGGCGCGAACAAGUGGCAACGGAGCUUCUGCAGGCGACAAGGAUCCCUCCUCUCGUGCCGUCAGACGGUAGGUAAUCAAAGGAGGAGGAAAACUCGCUUCCAAGCAUCUCAGCGACAAGAAACAGGGAGAGUACAGCCAGUUUUGUUUCUUGUAAGCAUACAAUCGCACCAUUUGCCUCAGCUACAAGGUCGCGCAGAGCGUCGCGCCGGGAACGUGCAUUGAGGCCUCGCACGUUCCAAACGAGCACAUUGAUGUUGGGAGCUUCCAUGGCGCACCCGGGCGACGGCGAGGGCGUCAAGUGGCUAGACGCAGACUUCAUCCGCACGUCCAGCGAUCUGCAUGAGUUCGCGGUCAGAACGCGUUAAUGAAGCCGUGGCACAGGAUAGCAGCGCCAAGGAACGCGGCGGGGUGCAGCUGUUGCGGAGGUGGCGGGGGUGCGUGUUGCCCUGCAGCGGGGGGCGGUGGAGCAGGUCCGUGCUGUUGUGGCGCAUUGUUAGGGGCGAAAGGCAGGGGGAAGGGACCAGGGGCAGCAGGCGGCGGCGGGUGGUGGACCGUAGAACGGCAACCAGGCUCCCUCUUCGUCAAGCUGCUGGUCCUUCGGCCAGAACAGCAGAGCGCUCUGGCGGAGGACAAUGCCGCGCCCGCUUGGAGUGUGCACACCGAUCCGGUCGGGGAUGUGGGGGUGCUGUAGCUCGAUCACGAACCGCAUACAGGACGGUCAAAUCCUGGGCCUGGGCCUGGGAUGCAGAAAGGAUCAAUCUCAAGCACGGAGCCAACGCAGCUGAAGAUAUCCUGACCUUCUCCGGCUCCCAGUGUUCUUCCGGGAAAUUCCAGACCGCUACGUGCCAGCCACGUCGGUACGCGCAUGAAAUGGUCAUCGGUGUCCUCGACACGCUCAAGCGCACCCACGGUCCCGUUGACGCNNNNNNNNNNNNNNNNNNNNNNNNNNNNNNNNNNNNNNNNNNNNNNNNNNNNNNNNNNNNNNNNNNNNNNNNNNNNNNNNNNNNNNNNNNNNNNNNNNNNCCAGGUAAACAGGCGGUCCACAAGGGGGAGAUCAAACAGGCAGAGAGUGUCGAUGGUGGAGUUGAAAGCUUCGCAGAGGUGGGCGUGGCAGGAUCCAUUGCUAUUGUCUGAGCUGCUGCGCGUGAGAUUGAAAUCGCCCAUGAUAACCCAGUUCCCAUGGAUGUGUCGUGCAAGAGAUUCUAAGUCCGCCAAGAAGGGGAGGGAGUCGCGGUGGUCGGAGGGAGCGUAAACAUUCGUUACAGCAAAACUGUAGUCGGAGGUGGUGGAAGAGAGGAAGGUGGUGAGGGAGUGUCGCUGCGCAAGAGAGGAAGAAAGCCUGAACAUGGCGGAGUCCCAGGCUGUGAGCACUCCGCCCCGGGUUUCGACUCGAGACACAGGAAAGCGUCAAGGUUGCUGGGGAGGAAGGCACGGGCGCGUAAAGAAUCAACAUCGUGAAGUUUGGUUUCCUGCAAACAAACAACGCCGGGACGAGAGGUGAAGAGAGCAUCACGAACAAGCGUGCACUUAGGAGCAUUGCCAAGGCCACGUACAUUCCAGGAAACCAGGGAGAAAACAACACAGUUCGAAUUCAUGACGGAUAAAGGAGCACCAGCAACUUCCGACGGGGAGCAGUUUUCAGGCAAAGCUGGGAGACAGAGGUACAGAAGAGCCGAUAACAGGGGCACAACAAAGCUAAACGAGUGAACGCAGAAGGAAAGCUAAAGCAGGAGAUCGCCACUCUGCUGCAGGUAGGAGACAAAGCAGGAGGCGCAACCGGUAACAUAAGCUUAAGCAUCAUUGGAGGCGAGCGCCGACUCGAGUUGGGAAGCUGUCGCAGCUCCGAUGGCCAGGACACGAUCAAGAGCCUUGACCGUGGCGGUGCCCAGACCUGCAGCGUCAGCAAGCUUGGCAAGGUCGCCCGGCUCGAUCGGCUUCUUGGUCUUGGUGAGCAGCUUCUUGCGAGCGACAAACGACUGGACGACAGUCGAGCAGAGAGCGAGACUGUUCUGGAAUGCCUUGAGCUGGGAAGCUUUGGUAGUGGCGUCGCGGUAUUUUCCGUCGUCCUUGGCAGCGAGGCGGGCGCUGUUCCGGGUGCCAGCGGCGAGCGGCGGCACACGUAGCGGUUUUGUGUGAGCGCCCUUGCGUGGGCGGCCGCGCGCAGCUGGGUGAGCAGGUGGGGAGUGGUGCUGGGCGGGUGGAGCAGGCGGCGGCGAGAGGUCAUCGGUAGGUGAGAGCCCGCCGUGCACGGCUGGGGUGGUAGGGGUGGCCUGAUCCGUGUGCCAGGUCAGGAGCAGCACCGGACUUGCACGGCAGGUGCAGGAAGCGGGCACGGGGGAGCGUGGCAGCUGUAUGAGGAUGGGAAGAGGAGGCAAGCGUGGGAGCGGGAACGCGUUAAUGAAGCCGUGGCACAGGAUAGCAGCGCCAAGGAACGCGGCGGGGUGCAGCUGUUGCGGAGGUGGCGGGGGUGCGUGUUGCCCUGCAGCGGGGGGCGGUGGAGCAGGUCCGUGCUGUUGUGGCGCAUUGUUAGGGGCGAAAGGCAGGGGGAAGGGACCAGGGGCAGCAGGCGGCGGCGGGUGGUGGACCGUAGAACGGCAACCAGGCUCCCUCUUCGUCAAGCUGCUGGUCCUUCGGCCAGAACAGCAGAGCGCUCUGGCGGAGGACAAUGCCGCGCCCGCUUGGAGUGUGCACACCGAUCCGGUCGGGGAUGUGGGGGUGCUGUAGCUCGAUCACGAACCGCAUACAGGACGGUCAAAUCCUGGGCCUGGGCCUGGGAUGCAGAAAGGAUCAAUCUCAAGCACGGAGCCAACGCAGCUGAAGAUAUCCUGACCUUCUCCGGCUCCCAGUGUUCUUCCGGGAAAUUCCAGACCGCUACGUGCCAGCCACGUCGGUACGCGCAUGAAAUGGUCAUCGGUGUCCUCGACACGCUCAAGGCGCACCACGGUCCCGUUGACGCGGAUUGACUGGACCAGCAUCGCGGACUCACGGGCGGCGGGGGAGCCGAGUGGACGAGGGGGGCCGGGUUUGCCGCGGCGAGCGGCGGUUCGACCUCCACGAAGGCGAAGUGGGCGGCGUGGUCCCAGUCGCCCUCGCGCACCCAAACCUCCAGGUAGCCGGGCCCCGCCACAAAGAGAAGUUUCACACGUUGCUUCCUCUGAUCUGAUACGAUGGCGAGAUAUGCAUGGACCUCCGGUCACCUGCAGCUCGACUAUGCAUGUUGACUCCAGAAACAAAAGAACGGAGAUGAUGCAUGCAAGGUCCAGCAAGCCAGAAAGCUACCAGCAUAUGCAUCAACUUGCAUGCAUCUUCAGACUAAUAAGGUAUGGUCACCCUAAAAUAAUGUGUCAAGUUGCAGGGCCUACAGGCUAACCAUGAUGUGGACUGGCGAGCUAAUUUGCAUGAAUCUGAACGCGUACCAACCUAUCAGAGUAUCAGGGUCAGCCUAACCAGACUUCCGUGUGUUCCCGUCUGUACAUGCCGGGACCAUCUCAAAUUGACCCCCUCCGCGUGUUCUUGUUAUCUUGUAGUCAGUAGCACUACAUCAUGACCAUCUGGCAAAACCAUUCCGCAGAAAAUGAAAUCACUGAUUUUUCCUGCUGAAAGUUUUCCAAGCCACACAAAGUUAGAUAUAGAAGAAUGGGGGAAACAAAAAACCAGCAUAUCUACUCCAUAACAGGUUGCUUGCUACGUCUGAAAAGCUGUUCCUUGGAAAGAAGUCUUUAUUUCCACUAAGCUGUAAUAAAGAAAAAGAGGCACAUUCAUCCAUACCUUUGGAGCAUACAUCAUAUAUGUAGGUAAAACAGGAAACGUGUUGACCAUAUUCAACUAAAUACCCAUAUGCAAUGCCUCGUCAGAAGAAAAAAGAAGUACUAACAAGUCAUUUUCUGUUCCCAGCCACUUGAGACAGCUGAAACCUGCAUGUCCAAAACUGCUUAUAUAAGAAGAGGAGCACUCAAGAACACCACACGUCCAUAUACAGUCCAUUGACCUUACUCCUUAGGCUCUCCACAUGGCCUUCUUCUUCAUCCGCGUGGUGCUCCUCUUCUUGCUGAGCACAACAUGCGCCUCUGCACUCACCCCAACAUCGAAUACCACAGACCUUGCUGCGCUGCUCGCCUUCAAAGCACAGCUCAAGGACCCCUUUGGCAUCCUUGCCAGCAACUGGACUGCCACUGCGUCCUUCUGCUCGUGGGCUGGCGUCUCAUGUGACCGCAGUCAGCGUGUCACCGGCCUGGAGUUCAGCGACGUGCCGCUCCAGGGCAGCAUCGCACCACAGCUUGGUAAUCUCUCUUUCCUCUCGACCAUUGUCCUCAGCAACACCAGCAUCAUGAGCACCGUGCCAAACGAGCUUGGCAGUCUGCCCUGGCUUCAAACUCUUAAUCUUUCAUACAAUAGUUUGUCAGGUACCAUCCCACACAUCCUUGGAAACCUUACUAGGCUUGACACGCUUGAUCUUUCUGGAAAUAACUUCUUUGGGGGAAUUCCACAUGAGUUGCAAAAAUUGCACAGCCUUAUUUCUUUAAUAUUGCAAUCCAAUGAACUGAGUGGACCAAUACCACAGGGCCUAUUCAACAACUCAACCAAUUUGAGUGAAAUAAAUCUUGGGUACAAUUGGCUGACAGGAGCAAUUCCUGAUAGUUUCAGCUCACCGCUAAAGUUGGAGAUGCUAGUCCUAGAAGAAAAUCAUCUCUCAGGCCCCAUGCCACCUUCUCUCUUCAAUAUGUCCCAGCUGCAAGCACUGGCUGUCGGAUGGAACAAUCUCUCAGGUCCAAUUCCUGGAAAUGAGAGCUUUCACCUCCCUAUGCUGCAAGUGUUAUCUCUGCCAGAAAACCAGUUCAAUGGACCUAUCCCUUUGGGUCUCUCCGCCUGUCAGAACCUUGAAGCGCUCCGUCUUGCAGUGAAUAAUUUCACUGGUACUGUGCCUUCAUGGCUGGCAACACUGCCAAACCUCACCAAAAUAUACCUGUCAACAAAUGAUCUCACUGGGAAGAUCCCGACUGAGCUGAGCAACCAAACAACGCUUCUUGGUUUGGAUGUCAGUGAGAACAAUCUUGAGGGGGAAAUUCCACCAGAACUGGGAAAUUUAAGAAAUCUUUGGAUUCUAAGCCUUGCAAACAACCAAAUAGCAGGUGUCAUCCCAGAAGCCAUAGGCAAUCUAUCUAACCUUGAGAUAAUAGACUUGUUUGGAAACAGAUUAACUGGACCAGUGCCAGUGUCAUUUCAAAACUUGCUAAAUCUCCGUCGCAUCUGGUUCAAUUGUAACCAGCUCAGUGGGAAUCUCAAUUUCCUGGCAGCAUUAUCCAAAUGCAGGAGCCUGGAUACCAUUAACAUAGCUAACAAUACAUUCACAGGGAUGCUACCACCCUACAUGGGAAACCUCAGCACGGUAUUGCAGUACUUCAUAGCGGAUUACAAUAUGAUCACUGGAAGCAUCCCUAGUACACUGGCCAAUCUGAGCAACAUGUUAGUAAUUUCUCUCGGUGGAAACAACCUGAGUGGGAAGAUCCCCACAACAAUCUCUGCGAUGAAGAAUCUCCAAGAACUCAACCUCUCCAGCAACAGCUUGUCUGGCACCAUCCCAGCAGAAAUAAGUAGAUUAACAAGCCUAGUUUAUUUGAAUCUUGGUGGCAAUAAACUAAGCGGUUCUAUUCCAAGCAGUGUCAGUAGUCUAAGCCAACUGCAAGAUAUGACGUUGUCACAAAAUUCACUGUCUUCAACCAUACCGACAACUCUAUGGCACCUUCAGAAACUUGUUGAGCUUGAUCUGUCAUUGAACUCUUUGAGUGGUUCCCUACCAGCUGAUGUUGGAAAACUGACAGCUGUUGCCAAUAUGGAUUUAUCAAGCAACCAGUUAUCAGGUGAAAUUCCAACUUCCAUUGGUAAUCUUCAGAUGAUGAUCAAUCUUAAUCUAUCCAGCAAUUUAUUCCAAGGAUCACUACCAGAUUCAAUUGGAAAUUUACUUAGUAUUGAAGAGUUGGAUCUCUCCUCCAACAUGCUUUCCGGUUCCAUUCCAGAAACCAUGACCAAUCUCAGUCACCUUGCAAAUUUGAACCUCUCUUUCAACAGCUUGGAUGGACAGAUACCAGAAAGAGGUGUGUUCUCAAAUAUCACCCUCCUAUCAUUGAUGGGGAACGAGGCACUCUGUGGCCUUCCACGCCUGGGAAUAGCACCAUGUCAGAACAACCAUGAUCAGUCACGGCUAAAACCAAAGUUAUUAAAAGUCAUAUUACCUGCAGUCCUGGGAUUUUUUGUUUUAGCUGCAUGCCUGUAUAUGUUGGUAAGAGUGAAGGUGAAUAUAGGAAGAAAGAUGACAGUACCCUCAGACACAGACUUGCAGAAGUAUAAGUUGAUCUCAUACCACGAACUUGUCCGUGCAACCAGCAACUUCACAGAUGAUAACUUGCUAGGGGCCGGAAGCUUUGGUAAAGUCUUCAAAGGAGAAUUGGAUGAUGGAUCAGUGAUCGCAAUAAAGGUACUAAACAUGGAGCAUGAUUUAGCUUCGAAGAGCUUUGACACCGAGUGCCGUGCACUACGAAUGGCUCGGCACCGGAACUUGGUGAAGAUAAUUAGUACUUGCUCCAAUCUCGACUUCAGAGCACUAAUUCUUGAGUAUAUGCCUUAUGGUAGUUUGGAUGAUUGGCUGUACUCAAAUGAUGGGAGGCAACUCAGUUUCCUCCAAAGGGUUGGCAUUAUGCUGGAUGUUGCAAUGGCAAUGGAGUAUCUACACCACCAGCACUUUGAAGCUGUCCUGCAUUGCGAUUUAAAGCCAAGCAAUAUCUUGCUGGACAAGGACAUGAUUGCAAAGGUUUCUGACUUUGGCAUUUCCAAGCUGCUAGUUGGAGAUGAAAACUCCAUCACAUUAACAAGCAUGCCUGGCACUGUAGGAUACAUGGCUCCUGGUAAGUUAAUUCCCCUUGCAAUAUAUAAUACAGCAUAUAUCCUUGUUCUUAUAUAAUCUCACCAGUUUUCUUUUGACAUGGAUUUAACAGAGUUCGGGUCAACAGGAAAAACAUCACGUGCCAGUGACGUUUAUAGCUAUGGAAUAGUUCUCCUUGAAGUUUUUACUAGGAAAAAGCCGACUGAUGCAAUGUUUAUCGGUGAGUUGAGCUUGAGACAGUGGGUUAGUCAAGCAUUCCCACAUGAACUUUCAAAUGUUGUUGACAGUAACAUAGUGCUAGAUGAGCUGAAUAAUGGCAUGGAAGAUGCAAAUAGUCUUCCUGAGAACUUCAGCAUCUUGAAUACCUACCUGGCAUCCAUAAUUGAGUUGGCCUUGCUAUGCUCGAGAGCUGCACCUGAGGAAAGGAUACCAAUGAAUGAUGUGGUAGUGAAGUUAAACAAGAUCAAGUCAGACUACAGUUCGCAGUUCCCAACUUCAACCACAUCUGGGUGAUAAUCGAGGCAAUCUGAUCAGCAAGAACUGGGAGGAUAUUAAUCAGUAGGGGCGUGCCCCUCCUGUUUCAUCCAAAAAAAAAAAGAACUGGGAGGAUAACCAACAGUUUUCAAUCACCGGCACGAGUCAGCAAGAAAUAAAGGCUUCAGUUCAGAAGCACUGGCCACAAGCAUUCAAUUGCCAAGGCACUCAAAUCACAGAAAUAGCAAUUGUGCAGGAUUGGAACAUCAAGAAAGAUCGGGAUUGGCAUAUUUUUCCAGUGCAAGUGCAGGCAGAAGGUGGCUGCAACCUUAUACCAUUCCAUAGGAAACGAAGGGUUGCAAUUUAUGGUCUUGCCUAAAGAAUAGCACAUUACUGAUAUAGAAAAAGUAAUGAUGUAAAAUUGUACUGCUGUUUCAACCGCUGCAAUCAUAAAAAGGUACAAAAUAAUAAUAAAAAAAGAUGCUAACAUCCACAAACCUUAUUUUCAGUUUUCUGGCAUUGUUGUGGGUUGCAUCCGAAGGGCAGGAAAGCAACGAUUAGUAGUCCACCUACUGACCUAGGCCGACUCCACUAAAACCCAAACCUAAUCCGUACAUUAAUGACAUUCUUCAGACCAGCGAUCCUUACACUAAUGCUGAAUUUCGAAAGGAAGGGUGCAUCAAACAUCAUGCAGGGGGGGCAUUUAAUUUUUUGCCACCGCAUGGGAUGUUCACUUAACCCCUCUCACAUUCACUCCUCUCACGUAGUGGCAAAUCUGUUGCCACUCACCCCUCUAAUAGUGGCAAAAAAUUAGAUGCAGGACGGGAGCGUGUGGAAUUGGAAAGAGACAGCGGGAGAGAUCAAAUGACUCACAUCGUCACAUGAAAGGAGUACACCGUGCGAGUAGGGACACUUGAGUCUUUCACAAGAUAGGCCUGGCGGGGGGGGGGGGGGGAGGACAGCAGCGCCAGGGACAAAUUGUCAAAGCCAUAGGGUGGAAAUUUGCAAUGUGCAUAGCGUAAAAUGAACUCUUUGUGAAUCAAAUUUUGUUUAGGUACAGAAAAACUUAUUUUCGGAUAGGAGUACUCCAUAUAUUAAACACCAACAGCAGAAUCAGCGUAAAAGAAGACAGACCAAGUUCUGGGCUAAUUCCAGAAAAAGAGUGCCGAGGAACAGAAGCAAUAAUGCGACGAUUCAAUCUCGGAAAUAAGCAGUGCAGAUCAGAUCUUAGGCAUGCCAAUAUAAUGGCUCCUCUGCUGCAGUCGGCAGUCAGCACGCGCUGUUGGACCAGUUCCCUGCGGCAACCCGACGUCGCCGUCCAUGAACAUCCCAUCAGCUGCAAAAGAGAUGCAUCGACGUCGUCCUUAACUGUACAUUAACUACAUAGAAAUGUAUAUGAUGACGGAUCACCCUCAAUGAGUCAAUACUCAACAGUGCGUCAUCAACUCAUCAUGCUGCGGAGUCUACAGGUAAUUAAUUACAGUGUGAGAAGAAGUGCUCUCGUCUGUCCAAACCAGAACACGUGCACUUCAACUACCUAUCAGGAUCAGCAACCUUUUCUCUGCUCCUGCAAGAUCAUGCCGAUAACCUCAGUGCCACCACAGACUGCAAUGUAUACGGCGAAGGGACGAACAGUCGACAAAAAACACAAGAGGGGCUUUUUCCUGAAGGAAAACCCCUCUUCAAGAGGCCUGAAGCGAAGUACCUGGAGUCUGCAGGGACCCUAACUCUCCAAUUCUUUCCAACCAAACUGAAACAUAUCCAAUACGCGGUAAAUUAAAGAGGCGUGAUUCAGAGACGAGGGUAAUUUCCGACAGUUUAACUAGGUGGCAGGAACAUUUCGUUCCAAGAAAACCGCAGGGUGUGAACAUGUGUAGUUGUGUACAGGUACAAAGUCAACCUACUCUGACCAUGUUCCAUGGUGCACAAGCCGUUCCUUGUCAAAAGCAGCAGCAAGUUGGCUUCAGCUACUUUUCAGUUCCCAGGGAGGCAGCGACUCAAUCUAGCAAAUUGAACGUCCGGAAGCGCUGAUAAAAGAACCACUCGAGCACACUGCACGCCCAUCUUCUCUCCACCAACCUUUGAUUCUCCACGGCUCCACCACCAUGGCUAUCUCUUGCAUCCGCAUGGCGCUCUUCAUCUUACUCACGCCAUGUGCCGCUGCGCUCGCCACACCAUCCAAUACCACGGACUUGGCAGCACUGCUCGCCUUCAAAGCACAGCUCAAGGACCCCCUCGGCAUCGUUGCCGGCAACUGGACUGCCACAACAUCAUUCUGCUCGUGGAUUGGGGUCUCGUGCAGCCACGGCAGGCAGCGUGUCACCGGUCUUCAGUUCAACCAUGUGCCACUCGAAGGCAGCAUCGCCCCGCAGCUCGGCAACCUCUCCUUCCUCUCCAACCUGGUGCUAAGAAACACCAGCCUUGUGGGUCCUCUCCCAACUGAACUUGGCACUCUGCACCGGCUCCGAAGUCUUGUUCUUCCCAACAACAGUUUGUCAGGUACCAUACCCUGCACCCUUGCCAACCUCACUAGGCUCGAGUUGCUUGAUCUGGCGAGCAACAACUUCAUAGGGGCCAUUCCGUACGAGUUUCAAAAUUUGCACAGCCUCCAGAUGUUUCAAUUGGUAGACAAUGACUUGAGUGGGGAAAUACCACAAGACAUGUUCAACAACACGCCCAGUUUGAGCAUAAUACAUCUCGGAUCGAAUAGGCUGACAGGAAGAAUUCCUCGUAGCAUCAUCACGCUGUCAAAUCUAGAGAAGCUUGUCCUACAAAAAAAUCUUCUCUCAGGACCCAUGCCACCACCUAUCUUCAAUAUGUCCCAGCUGCAAGCACUGGCUGUCGGACGGAACAAUCUCUCAGGUCCAAUUCCUGGAAAUGAGAGCUUUCACCUCCCUAUGCUGCAAGUGUUAGCUCUGCCAGAAAACCAGUUCAAUGGACCUAUCCCUUUGGGUCUCUCCGCCUGUCAGAACCUUGAAACGCUCAAUCUUGCAGUGAAUAAUUUCACUGGUACUGUGCCUUCAUUGCUGGCGACACUGCCAAACCUCACCGCAAUAUACCUGUCAACAAAUGAUCUCACUGGGAAGAUCCCGACUGAGCUGAGCAACCAAACAACGCUUCUUGGUUUGGAUGUCAGUGAGAACAAUCUUGAGGGGGAAAUUCCACCAGAACUGGGAAAUUUAAGAAAUCUUGGGUAUCUAAGCCUUGCA